ACAAUAUUAACUCUUUCUGUUUUUUCCUGAUUUUUUUCAGUUGUAAUGACUAGAAAAUGGGAUUCUCCCUCCUCUAUAUGGCUCCCAAGAGAGAUUUCAUUUUCUGGGAUAACUGGACCCACUGUGGGAGGCAGCUCAUCGUGGGAGCUACAUGGCCCUGGUAAUGCGAUGUCACCUCCCUCCACAAAGAUGUGGAUCAGUUAAAGGGAGCCCAGGAAAGUGGACAGAGAAUGAUCAGAGUUUUUAAAGAGACAUGUAACUACCUUGGAAAUACCUGGGCCAACAGACAUGGGAAGAAAACAGAAAAGAGAAGAGCAACUGGUUUCUGGCCUGUUUGUGUAGCAGUCCCAUUAUGUAGCCUGCUUGUGCAGACCUCUUUACGAAAUGUACGUACAUUUGCAACACUUUAGUUGAAUAAUUUAUCAAUGGUUAAUA